GACGAACCGAGCGAACGUUAUUCGGAAUCACUGGGCUUAAAGGGCGCGUAGGCGGGCCAUCAAGUCAGGGGUGAAAGCCCCCAGCUCAACUGGGGAAGUGCCUCUGAUACUGGUGGCCUCGAGGGAGGUAGGGGCGUGCGGAACUUCCGGUGGAGCGGUGAAAUGCGUAGAUAUCGGAAGGAACACCGGUGGCGAAGGCGGUGAUCUGGGCCGACACUGGCGCUGUAGAGCGAAAGCGUGGGGAGCGAACAGG
rnacentral:rRNA from 1 species